ensembl:lncRNA novel transcript
AUAGUGAUAGUGGUGACGGGGCCUCCAAAAGUUGGAAAGAGCACUUUGAUAUAAUGCCUCAUUGGGAACUUCACCCAGCAGAAGUUGACCGAGAUCAGAGGCCCUGUGAUGAUCGUGUCAGGUAAAAAGCUCCGACUCACCAUUAUUGAAUGUGGGUGUGACAUUAACAUGAUGAUUGAUCUGGCUGAAGUAGCAGAUCUGGUUGCCAAGCUGUUCUACCUUUCUGGAAUGGUGCAUGGAGAAUAUCAAGACCAAGAAAUCCACAAUCUGGGCCAUUUUAUUACAGUUAUGAAGUUUAGGCCUCUCACAUGGCAGACGUCUCAUCCUUAUAUCCUGGCAGACAGGAUGGAAGAUUUGAAAAACCCAGAGGAUAUCUGAACAAAAUGUGACUGGCAGGUGUCACUUUAUGGUUAUUUAAGAGGAGCACACUUGAAAAAUAAAAGCCAAAUUCACAUGCCAGGUAUCUACUGAGCGUUUCAGUCAACAAUACAGCUCGUGUUCGACAAUAUUCCUUGAUGGCAGCACAGCCAGCCAGCAUUAUCUUAUAAUGACAAUAAUAUCGCACUGAGAAGCCUUUUAGGAAAAUCAGGAUGGAUGUGAGGCAUCUUUCUGUGAAGAAAAGCAUCCCAGAAGAUUCUGAUUUUCACCACAGCUCAAUCAUUCCAAACUUUGCUGCUGAUUGAAAUCACCUGGGAAACGUUUACCAAGAACCUUGAUGCCCAAAGCCAUACCCAAUACUAAUUAAAUUAAAAUGUCUCAUGUUGAAGAUGAGGCAGAUAUUAAAGCUUCUCAGGCGAUUUUAAUGUGCAGCGAAGUUUGAGAGCCACUGCUUAAUUUGAGUUUAGGACGAGAAACUGCUCCUAUUUGGUGGGACCUUGGGCAAGUCAGUUUUAAGUGUGACCUUGGAGAUACAUCAUCAUAUCACGGAAAGAGAUGCAGAUAGAUCUUUGACCAUACUUGAUGAACAGUUAUACUCAUUUGCGUUCAUGCCGUGGAAGAAGUGGUGAAGGAGGUGGUGGGACACGCCAAGGAGACUGGAGAGAAAGCCAUUGCUGAAGCCAUAAAGAAAGCCCAAGAGUCAGGGGACAAAAAGAUGAAGGAAAUCACUGAGACAGUGACCAACACAGUCACAAAUGCCAUCACCCAUGCAGCAGAGAGUCUGGACAAACUUGGACAGUGAGUGCACCUGCUACCACGGCCCUUCCCCAGUCUCAAUAAAAAGCCAUGACAUGUGUACA